ACAAUAAGCAAGAAACAACAAAAGCAGGAGGAAGUGAAAAUAAAAAGCACAAACUGGGAAGGCAAACUGAGGUUCUUGUCAGCCAAAGCUACAAAGGAAACAUAAUCAGUACCUAACUUCUGUUGCAGAAAUCCUGUUGCUCCUCAUUGUGAUGCUUUCAAUGUUCCUAAGACCACCUCUGUAUUUCAAAUGUUAGCCUGGCUGAACUUUUAUGCAGUAGGAGUGGGGCAGGCCAGCAAGGCAUACCCAACAAGUAGCUCCAAAACGCAUAGGAGUCCUAGAGAGCUGACAAUGUGUGGCUCAGUG